UACGAGAGGCCCAACCGUUAUUCGGAAUUACUGGGCUUAAAGAGUUCGUAGGCGGCAUUGCAAGUAGGGUGUGAAAGCCCUCGGCUCAACCGAGGAAUUGCGCUCUAAACUGCAGUGCUUGAGGAAGCUAGAGGUGAGCAGAACAGAUGGUGGAGCGGUGAAAUGCGUUGAUAUCAUCUGGAAUACCGGAGGCGAAGGCGGCUCACUGAGGCUUUUCUGACGCUGAGGAACGAAAGCCAGGGUAGCGAACGGG
rnacentral:rRNA from 1 species